GCCCUUGUAGCGCAAAUGAUUGCGCGUUGGACUUCUAAUCCGAAGUCCCCGGGUUCGAAUCCCGGCAAGGGUG